CACGUAGGUGGCAAGCGUUGUCCGGAAUCAUUGGGCGUAAAGCGCGCGCAGGCGGUCCCUUAAGUCUGAUGUGAAAGCCCACGGCUCAACCGUGGAGGGUCAUUGGAAACUGGGGGACUUGAGUGCAGAAGAGGAAAGCGGAAUUCCAAGUGUAGCGGUGAAAUGCGUAGAGAUUUGGAGGAACACCAGUGGCGAAGGCGGCUUUCUGGUCUGUAACUGACGCUGAGGCGCGAAAGCGUGGGGAGCAAAC
rnacentral:rRNA from 1 species